rnacentral:rRNA from 1 species
GACGAACGCUGGCGGCGUGCUUAACACAUGCAAGUCGAACGGAACGGUCCUGUUUUUGUGGGGUGCUCGAGUUGAGACCGGGUGAGUAACCCUUGAGUACCCUGUCCUUGACUGUGGGAGAACCUCAGGAAACUGGAUUUCUUCCGGCCAGGGAUUUCUCCCCUUUGGUUGGGGUCGGAUUGUUUUGGCGGUUUGGGAUGGUCUAGCGGCUCCUCGGCUUGUUGGGGUGGUAGUGGUUUACCAAGGCUUUGACCGGCUGCCGGCCUGGGAGGGUGACCGGCCACAUUGGGACUGGAAUACGGCCCAGACUCCUACGGGAGGCAGCGGUGGGGAAUAUUGCACAAUGGGCGGAAGCCUGAUGCAGCAACGCCGCGUGCGGGAUGACGGCCUUCGGGUUGUAAACCGCUUUCGCCUGUGACGAAGCGUGAGUGACGGUAAUGGGUAAAGAAGCACCGGCUAACUACGUG